GAGUCACUCCGCAAGGGGUGGCGCACGGCUCAGUAACACGUAGUCAACCUACCCUAGGGACGGGGAUAACCUCGGGAAACUGAGGCUAAACCCCGAUAGGCUAUAGCCUCUGGAAUGAGCUAUAGCUGAAAUCUAUAUGGCCCUAGGAUGGGACUGCGGCCGAUCAGGUAGUUGGUGGGGUAAUGGCCCACCAAGCCUAUAACCGGUGCGGGCUCUGAGAGGAGGAGCCCGGAGAUGGGCACUGAGACAAGGGCCCAGGUCCUAUGGGGCGCAGCAGGCGCGAAACCUCCGCAAUGGGCGAAAGCCCGACGGGGUUAGUCCGAGUGGUCCCUGCUGAAGGGGCCUUUUGCCAGCUGUAAAAAGGCUGGCGAAUAAGGGGUGGGCAAGUUUGGUGUCAGCCGCCGCGGUAAUACCAGCACCCCGAGUGGUCGGGACGAUUAUUGGGCCUAAAGCAUCCGUAGCCGGCUUAGCAAGUCCUCCGUUAAAUCCAACGGCUUAACCGUUGGGCUGCGGAGGAUACUGCUAAGCUAGGGGGCGGGAGAGGCGAGGGGUAUUCCCAGGGUAGGGGUAAAAUCCGUUGAUCCUGGGAGGACCACCAGUGGCGAAGGCGCCUCGCUAGAACGCGCCCGACGGUGAGGGAUGAAAGCUGGGGGAGCGAACCGGAUUAGAUACCCGGGUAGUCCCAGCCGUAAACGAUGUAGGCUCGAUGUUGGGUUACCCAAGUGGUAGCCCAGUGUCGCAGGGAAGCCGUUAAGCCUACCGCCUGGGGAGUACGGCCGCAAGGCUGAAACUAAAGGAAUGGCGGG
rnacentral:rRNA from 1 species